AAUAGAUACCCUGGUAGUCCAUGCCGUAAACGAUGAUUACUAAGUGUUGGAGGGUUUCCGCCCUUCAGUGCUGCAGCUAACGCAUUAAGUAAUCCGCCUGGGGAGUACGACCGCAAGGUUGAAACUCAAAAGAAUUGACGGGGGCCCGCACAAGCGGUGGAGCAUGUGGUUUAAUUCGAAGCUACGCGAAGAACCUUACCAGGUCUUGACAUCUUCUGCCAACCUAAGAGAUUAGGCGUUCCCUUCGGGGACAGAAUGACAGGUGGUGCAUGGUUGUCGUCAGCUCGUGUCGUGAGAUGUUGGGUUAAGUCCCGCAACGAGCGCAACCCUUAUUACUAGUUGCCAGCAUUCAGUUGGGCACUCUAGUGAGACUGCCGGUGACAAACCGGAGGAAGGUGGGGACGACGUCAAAUCAUCAUGCCCCUUAUGACCUGGGCUACACACGUGCUACAAUGGAUGGUACAACGAGUCGCGAAACCGCGAGGUUUAGCUAAGUCUCUUAAAACCAUUCUCAGUUCGGACUGUAGG
rnacentral:rRNA from 1 species